UACAGAGGUCUCAAGCGUUGUUCGGAUUCAUUGGGCGUAAAGGGCGCGUAGGCGGUUGGAUAAGUCAGCUGUGAAAACCACGAGCUUAACUCGUGGCCUGCAGUUGAGACUGUCUGGCUUGAGUGUGGGAGAGGAGAGUGGAAUUCCUGGUGUAGCGGUGAAAUGCGUAGAUAUCAGGAGGAACACCGGUGGCGAAGGCGGCUCUCUGGACCACAACUGACGCUGAGGCGCGAAAGCUAGGGGAGCAAACAGG
rnacentral:rRNA from 1 species